rnacentral:rRNA from 1 species
CAGUCGCCGCGGUAAUACGUAGGGUGCGAGCGUUAAUCGGAAUUACUGGGCGUAAAGCGUGCGCAGGCGGUUGUGUAAGACAGGUGUGAAAUCCCCGGGCUUAACCUGGGAACUGCGCUUGUGACUGCACAGCUAGAGUAUGGCAGAGGGGGGUGGAAUUCCACGUGUAGCAGUGAAAUGCGUAGGGAUGUGGAGGAACACCGAUGGCGAAGGCAGCCCCCUGGGCCAAUACUGACGCUCAUGCACGAAAGCGUGGGGAGCAAACAGGAUUAGAUACCCCGGUAGUCCAUGUCUCUUAUAC